rnacentral:lncRNA from 1 species
UGACGUUUCUCACGAUGAAAAUUAAAAGGUGAUUUGGCACGUAGAAACCAAUUUGUCAAAUCAUUCAACUCAGACUUGGGAAGUGCCUGUACAUUUCCGAAAUGGCGUGCCUCGUGUGUCUCGCUGCCUGUUCUUUGGCUUACGUCUCACCCCAUUCAACAGUAAAAAGUAAAGCACAUGCUGGUGGUUACCUUGUUGCAGCCAAAUGGUGAAAGGUGUGACAAAGAGAGAUUGAACCAUUGUAUGCUGAAUGCGAUUGCAGUGUAAUCCAGAAGUUGCUGUGCUGUUGUAGCUGAGCUGUUCCAUCUGGGUUCCUGACUUCAAAAAUUUUGU